AACAACAGUUCGAGUGCGGCAGACUGUCUAUAGAAGAAGCAGGAAAGUAUUCUCAUAACUUUUUGAAUACGUUUCUCAGAUCGGCCGACCAUACUUUGUGCAUACCGUAAGUUGAGCGUUGUUAUCUCUAAUUAUGUAUUGUGUCAAGACUCAGUGAACGAAACCAUAUCAUACCACAUUUCGCGCUCUUGAUACUAUAUGAUUAUCCAGACGAUUGUGUUGUCUUUAUUUCUAAACUAGUAUACUGAAGAAUAUCAAAGAAUGGUUAAAUGUGUUGGCUAACGGCUAACGUGUACUCUUAGACAGCGAGUUUGGUCAUCGGUGCAAAUUCGAUCCAGUGUCAACUGACCUCAAAUUAUGAUGUAUCAUCUGCUUCAUGAUCCUAUUUUAUAACGGGACUUUUUAUUCCAUCGCCAUGCCUUCCCUUUCCCUUCGCUCUCACGCUGCCCCGCGUCAUCUCCAUCUCCAUUCCCAGAGGAGUCUGCCUAACCCACUUCUUACAUCUCAAUAACGACAUUCCCCGCUCCCGUCACCGUCAGUGGUACGGCUCCGCGGCAGGCUCGGCGGUAAACUGUUUAUGUGGCCCGGCUCCGACGCCGCGCCGGCCGUGAAACUGCAGCCCCUCCGUCCUCCCCACCACCACCGCCGUGCCGGGCUAUAGCGCCUGUCGUGGGUGGGGUAGGCCGGCCGGCGUGCAGGCGUGCGCGGCCGAGCGCUGGGGUGCCUACCCGGUGGGCGCUCGCCGCAGCUGGGUGUGAGUGAGGGGCUACCCGAGGGGUCCUUCGCUCAGAAAAAUCAGUGUACACCCUUUGAAAAAAUCACGAAAAAAUCAUGAAAAAAAUCACAAAAAAAAUCUUAAAAAAUUAACGAAGAGUUAGAAAAAACACACAAAUAAUCACAAAAAACCACAAAAAUUCACAAAAAUUUACAAAAAUUCAACAGAAAAUCACAAAAAAUCAAGAAAACAGAAAAGAUCGGCUUGUGAACGCUCCGGUUCGGUUACUGGGAGGUUCGGCUCGCCCUCUUUCCCAUAUGCUAAUAAUCUUUAUAAGCAGGAGAGAGGCGAGUCCGAGGGAAAGCGAACCGAAACCCACCGGAGCAGCGUCCGAAACUCAGGUGGAGUAGUUCGCAAGCUGUGUGGGAGGGAGCAGGUUGCUCUUGCACCUAUACCUCACUGCAAGAAAAACCUACAAUUUGACAACAGUCUGGAGCUGUCAAUUAUUAACCAGUAGAUGAUUGUGAAAUUUUCAUUGUAUAUUGUGGGGUGAAAGCACUGGAAUAACAAUAUGAUAUUGUUAUUUCAAAGUAAAGCUGUAUUGUACAGGAAGUAUAGCUGUAGGUAAUUCUCAAAGUGCUCCAGGUAGGUCCGCGGGUCUGCGUGGAGACUUGGAGACUUGGAGACUCUUCCCUCCUCCGUCCUCUUAGUUGGGGGUGAGGGGAAGCACCCCGCCCCGACCGGAGGGAUUCAUGCGUGGCGUCGUCGUGGUCCGUAGGACGAGCCGCCGCCUCGGCCGCGGCGGGAGGCCGGGCGAGCAGCAGGACAAUCCCUGGGGGGAUUCGCCACUAAUCCCGAAGCGCGGCGCGCGCUGCACGGGCCGCGUUGUUGUGGUUUAAUAAGCGUGCGUUAGCAGCGAGGAGGCCGGGCGGCGGGCCGGGCGGGGACCAGCCGCUUGCGCCCCGUCCGUUAAUUGGCAACGCCCACGGACUGCUGCUGGAUAGCGGGACAGCGCGGGACAAACGAGUUUUAAACCUAACUUGUCUGAGGAAAAUUAUUCCCCGCAGAUUUUGGAGGAAAUACUCCCAAGAAAUGAGGUAAAUCCCCCAAAUUUUUUUUGAGGAGAGGCUUAUUCCUCAAAAUCUGAGGAGUUACUCUCCAACUACGGGAAUUCCUGAAAGUUUUCCCCAAUUCCCGAAAAAAACAAACAAAGGGAGCUUGUUCUUAUCGUGAACACGUAGUAAGUGGAUCGCGCCCUGACGCGCACGCAUUCCGAUUCCUCUGCCUGUCCAGGCCGCUGCGCGCUGCGCCUGCAGUUCCACGACUUCGCCCUGGCGACGGGCCCCGACUGCCGCGACUCGUACCUGGCGCUGCGCAACCACAAGUACUGCGAGGCCGACCUCCGGGGCACCAGCCACGGCUUGACCUUUGGUUCUUCAUCGGCUAUAGAGGUGCCGUACCGCCUCCGCAAGGACGUCGCCUUUGCUCGCUGGAACGCCUCCUACUCACAGCUUCCCUGCUGAUACUUUUGGUGGUAUUCUGCGUCGUGUUGAACUACAGGUGGCGUGUGGCGAGGUACCCAGUGUGUGUUGGUUGGCCUUAGAAUUGAACUGCCGACUCUCUGACUUCCUACUUCUUUUCUUAUUUAUUGUCCAAAUGUCAUGUACAAAUUCGAUUUUAGUUCUGGUGUGCUGUGUAGAGUAUAUGGUGUGCGGUAGUCCUGUAUUGUGUAACUUAUUAAUACAGUAUAGCGGCGUUGGAGAGAAAAUAAAAAAAAGUUCAUAUGCGUAACGUCA